rnacentral:lncRNA from 1 species
UGGAUGUAAAUCUUUCCAGACUCACAGGCCCCUCUGCUCCCAGAGAGCUUGAAACGUUUAAGGUCAUCCCUCUCCAAAGGCUUCACUGAAACCCUGGAAAUCUCUCCUUCAACCUUAAAAGUCUUGAGACGUUCUUCCUGUUGUCCAGCCUCAGUCACUACUUGCAGUAGCAGGAGGUGGCUCCCCCAGGGGGAAGUGCAUCAGUCACACUCAGCAGCCCUCUAAGUCCCCUCAGCCUCCUUCUAGACACUUCUGCCUCACGGAAUCAAAAGAAAGGCUGUCAGAUCUAUCAGAAAUCAGAUUGCUCCUAGAGCUGUGCUGGUGACCGUGUAAACGCUUGGAUCCUUGCCUGCAUUGUGGAGUUCACAGCCUACACUGGACAUGUGGAUGUUGAGUGAUAGAGGAUGGACAGCAAAAAAAACUCCAAACCCGCUGGACCAAGGCACCUGCCCACGAGUGGAUCCUAAAGGACUUGCAUCAGCCGUGAGUUUGGACAUGUGACCAUAUGUGGAUCUCAGACCUGCAAGCUAGACAGAAGAAAGAACUUCCCCGGGUGUGGUUGUCAAUGCAGUACCGUAAAAGUAUCAGAAGGCCUCUCUUCCUGGAAGGCGGUGAACCAGGAGGGGCCCCGUCUUGCAGCGCCAGGCAUGAGGAACUCAGUGUCUUCCUGCUCAGGUUUGAGGAGGGUGUUCUGUGCAAGUCAGCCUGUGACUUCUCGUCUCCUUUGCACCCCACACACCCACUUGCUCGGCUUUCUGAAGAACAGAGCCCCAUCCUGUGAUCACCACCCUCCACCAGGCACUCUGGGAGCCAGCAUGAUCCUCAGGCUUCACACGCAGUUUUCCCGGCUGAACCCCAGUCCAUGCUGCCACCGCCCGGCCGCCGAGCAAGAGGGAGACACUGGAGCAUCUUUGGGGCCACAGCUACAGCAGGAAGGGCUGGGGCUAGACAUUCGGAGCGCCUUCCAAGCGUGAGGGAGGAGGAGUGCUGCGGAGUGGAGCAGGAGGCCGAGGAAGAGAUGUGCGAGCCUACGUGC